rnacentral:rRNA from 1 species
CCUACGGGAGGCAGCAGUGAGGAAUAUUGGUCAAUGGACGAGAGUCUGAACCAGCCAAGUAGCGUGAAGGAUGACUGCCCUAUGGUUUGUAAACUUCUUUUUUAUGGGAGUAAAAUGUUCCACGUGUGGGAUUUUGUACGUACCAUAUGAAUAAGGAUCGGCUAACUCCGUGCCAGCAGCCGCGGUAAUACGGAGGAUCCGAGCGUUAUCCGGAUUUAGUGGGUUUAAAGGGCGCGUAGGUGGAUCGGUAAGUCAGUUGUGAAAGUUUGCGGCUCAACCGUAAAAUUGCAGUUGAAACUGGCGGUCUUGAGUACAGGAGAGGUGGGCGGAAUUCGUGGUGUAGCGGUGAAAUGCUUAGAUAUCACGAAGAACUCCAGUGGCGAAGGCAGUUCACUGGACAGCAACUGACACUGAGGCUCGAAAGUGUGGGUAGCAAACAGGAUUAGAUACCCUAGUAGUC